rnacentral:rRNA from 1 species
GAUGAACGCUAGCGGGAGGCCUAACACAUGCAAGCCGAGCGGUAUGGGUAGCUUGCUACCCAGAGAGCGGCGUACGGGUGCGUAACACGUGUGCAACCUGCCCCUAUCCGGGGGAUAGCCCUCCGAAAGGAGGAUUAAUACCCCAUAAUAUAUCUGGUGGCAUCACUAGAUAUUGAAAACCCCGGUGGAUAGGGAUGGGCACGCGCAAGAUUAGACAGUUGGCGGGGUAACGGCCCACCAAGUCGAUGAUCUUUAGGGGUCCUGAGAGGGAGAUCCCCUACACUGGUACUGAGACACGGACCAGACUCCUACGGGAGGCAGCAGUGAGGAAUAUUGGACAAUGGGUGGAAGCCUGAUCCAGCCAUCCCGCGUGAGGGACGACGGCCCUAUGGGUUGUAAACCUCUUUUGUACGGGGAUAAACCUAUCUACGGGUAGAUAGCUGAAGGUACCGUACGAAUAAGCACCGGCUAACUCCGUG